UCAUUACAGGAGCUCUGGUGAAAGCUGAUGGCAGGGAAGCAUUUUACUGGAAAACACAGCAAAUGAGAGAGUUCCAACAUCGUGGCCCCUUUUGAAAGGUGAAUUCCAGAUGCCUUAAUGCUCAUCUGCUCUUGGAACUCUGGCAAGCUAUGGAACACACCUGUGAGAUCGUCUAGCCGGGUGCUGCCCUAUGAGUAUCACUUUGGACAUAUAGAUAUACUUUUUAACAAUUAUGAACUGCUAUACUAAGAAUGGAUUUGAUGAUUCAUGUAUGGCCCUUCUUGAAAAAUUGGAUCGAAACGUCGAAAUC